rnacentral:rRNA from 1 species
AAUCGAAGCAGUGAACUUAAGCCCCAGUAAACGGCGGCCGUAACUAUAACGGUCCUAAGGUAGCGAAAUUCCUUGUCGGGUAAGUUCCGACCCGCACGAAAGGCGUAACGAUUUGGGCACUGUCUCAACAACAGACUCGGUGAAAUUGUAAUUCCGGUGAAGAUGCCGGAUACCUGCGACAGGACGGAAAGACCCCAUGGAGCUUUACUGUAGCUUGACAUUGGGUCUUGGUACUACAUGUACAGGAUAGGUGGGAGGCUUUGAAACCAGGACGCCAGUUUUGGCGGAGCCAUCCUUGGGAUACCACCCUUGUAGUACUGGGACUCUAACCAUAGGCCAUGAAUCUGGUCUUGGGACACUGUCAGGUGGGCAGUUUGACUGGGGCGGUCGCCUCCCAAAAGGUAACGGAGGCGCUCAAAGGUUCUCUCAGUACGGUCGGAAAUCGUACGUAGAGGGUAAAGGCAAAAGAGAGCUUGAUUGCAAGACAUACAGGUCGAGCAAGGAUGAAAAUCGGACUUAGUGAUCCGGUGGUUCUGCGUGGAAGGGCCAUCGCUCAACGGAUAAAAGCUACCCUGGGGAUAACAGGCUUAUCUCCCCCAAGAGUCCACAUCGACGGGGAGGUUUGGCACCUCGAUGUCGGCUCAUCACAUCCUGGGGCUGUAGUAGGUCCCAAGGGUUGGGCUGUUCGC